UCUGGUGAUGAUGGCGAAGAGGUCACACCCGUUCCCAUACCGAACACGGAAGUUAAGCUCUUCAGCGCCGAUGGUAGUUGGGGGUCUCCC
rnacentral:rRNA from 1 species